GAUGAACGCUGGCGGCGUGCCAAUCCCUGCAAGUCGAGCGAACAGAUGAGGAGCUUGCUCCUCUGACGUUAGCGGCGGACGGGUGAGUAACACGUGGAUAACCUACCUAUAAGACUGGGAUAACUUCGGGAAACCGGAGCUAAUGCCGGAUAAUAUAUUGAACCGCAUGGUUCAAUAGUGAAAGACGGUUUUGCUGUCACUUAUAGAUGGAUCCGCGCCGCAUUAGCUAGUUGGUAAGGUAACGGCUUACCAAGGCAACGAUGCGUAGCCGACCUGAGAGGGUGAUCGGCCACACUGGAACUGAGACACGGUCCAGACUCCUACGGGAGGCAGCAGUAGGGAAUCUUCCGCAAUGGGCGAAAGCCUGACGGAGCAACGCCGCGUGAGUGAUGAAGGUCUUCGGAUCGUAAAACUCUGUUAUUAGGGAAGAACAAAUGUGUAAGUAACUAUGCACGUCUUGACGGUACCUAAUCAGAAAGCCACGGCUAACUACGUG
rnacentral:rRNA from 1 species